AAAUGCGCUAAGUAGUGUGCAUUGCAGAAUUCAGUGAAUCAUCGAAUCUUUGAACGCACAUUGCGCCCCUUGGUAUUCCAUGGGGCAUGCCUGUUCGAGCGUCAUUUGUACCCUCAAGCUCUGCUUGGUGUUGGGUGUUUGUCCCCGUCUCCGCGCGUGGACUCGCCCCAAAGUGAUUGGCAGCCGGCGUACUGGUCCCGGAGCGCAGCACAUGUCGCGCAAACGAGUGCCUUGGUACGGCGGCGUCCAUAAGCCCCUCUCUCACGCUCUUGACCUCGGAUCAGGUAGGGAUACCCGCUGAACUUAAGC
rnacentral:misc_RNA from 1 species